rnacentral:hammerhead_ribozyme from 1 species
AAUGUGCUGAGGAGUCCCAUACCAGGACGAAACGGCCGUCCAGU